rnacentral:lncRNA from 1 species
CAGAAAAUGGGGGGCCCAAGGAGAGGGAGAUAAAUUAAGGAGAGGAAGAAAGAUGAAGGAAGGGUCAGUUGGUGGAGCUAUCGUAACACACACAAUAUUUACUAUUAAGUUCACUGUUUUAUAUGAGUGUGGUUCAUGGCACUCCAAAAUAAUUACAACAGUAACAUCAAAGAUCACUGAUCACAGUUCACCAUAACAGAAAUAACAAGUCUGAAAUAUUGUGAGAAUCACCAAAAUGGGACACAGAGACACGAAGUGAGCACAUGUUGUUGGAAAAUGGCACCAAUAGACUUGCUCCAUGCAGAGUUGCCACAAACUUUCAAUUUGUGAAACAUGCGAUAUCUGCAAAGCACAAUAAAGUGAAGUACAAUUAUGCCUGUAUAUGUGCCCUGUUUAAAUAGCAGCCACUAGCUACAUGCAACUGCUAAGCACUUGAAAUACGGCUAGUGCAAUGGAUGAACUAAAUUUUUCAUUUCAUUUCAUUUAAAUUAGUUUAAAAUUCAAUGAAAUACUCAAGUGGCCAAUGGCUACUGCAUUGGACAGCACAGAUCUACAACUUAAUGGCUAAUGAAUGACCAUAUUCAUCUGUGGAGCAGAGGAGAGUGUCUAAAACAGCAUAGUGACCAAAAUAAUACAAGCCUAAAUAAAAAAGAAUCAUGAUUUAAAAGACUACAAUUUUCAAAACUAUUAAGUCUUGCUUUCUGCAACUUGUGACUUAACACACCUCUUUGACAGAUUCUUGUAUUAUUUCACCAGAAACAGAACAGAAUUCAGUUGUGUUUCACUAAAUACAUGGCUUCAUCUUUUGGGACUUGGUUUCCUCAUCUGUAAAGUGAAGUGGUUGGACUUCGUUAGAUCAUAUUUAAAUUUUUCUUUCAGCUACAGAGUUUGGAAGCACAUUUAAGUGAAUUGCUGGGAAAAACUGUGUGUUUGAUUUUAGGUCUCAUCUGUGAAUUCCUGUCUCAUCAUCAGAAUCUCUCCAACAUGUUUUCCUUUCCCUCUGUACUUCUGACUCCCUCUUAUCUGCCCAUAGUUCAAAAGAUUUCUCCUGUCUGAUAGAUUUAUCCUUCUGCAUUUGUGCUGUCAAAGAGCUUUGUUUAGACAGAGUCCAGACAUACUUGUGUGUUGCUUAUGAAUUCUAAUUAAGAAGGACAACUCCACAUGAGUCAAGGUUAUCUUUAAAAAAAUAGAACUUUAGUCUAAGAUCAGAAAGGAAGAAAAACAUUAUAAAAUAAACUUGGCAAAAAGAACUCCAAAGUUUAAACCAAACUAAGAUGGGAAGCAUAGGAAGCAUGUUUUUCUUUCACAAAAUCAGAUUAAUUCUUAUUUGAAGGGUUCUUUGAGCAUAAAGAAACUGCCAUUGCAGAAAUGCAGAUUUCUGAUGUGGCCACCUUGAGUUUGUUGAAGAAAAACAAUUCUGAAAAUUCACUCAGGUCCCUCUGGCUCCCCAGGUUCUUUGCACCCUGAUAAAGAAAAAGAUUACACAUGCGCCACCUUUUGGAAAAAAUGGGAAUAGCAGCAAAGAGGUCAGAUUCAAAGACCAUUAGCUCUAUUUCACCCUCAAAGGGAAAAACAAAAAGCCAAAUAUCAUUUAUUUUUAUUAUAAUAUUUAAAAGUUAUAUCCCCCAGAGGUUUAUUAAUCAUGUGACAUAGAACUAUUAGUAAAGUCUGAAUCAAAACUUGGAUUUGGUUUUUCUCAUUUUCAAAAUGGUAAUAAGUUGAUUUUGCUUUAAAACAGUAAGUCUGAAAUAACCACAAAAUAGCAAAACACUGUCUCAAAUCCUAAUGUCACAGUUUUCAUUUAUCCUUGGUCAUGGAUAUAGAUCUACGGGGAAAAUUAAUUGUUUCUAUUUAUUCUAUCCUAGUUACAAUAAUCCUUAACUUUAAGUAUUGUACCUCCCUUUUUCUUAGUACUUAGAGUAGAAAACCAGAGAAGCAAAUCCAUUUAUUUUACUAGAAAGAAAAUUCUUACUUGUUUUAUCUAGAACCAUGAAAAAGAAGUGGUAUCACAAAUCUGCUUAGUUUUUUUGGACUUGAAGCGUAGAGUCGAAGGCUUUUGAGAUUCCACAAUGCUUGGGAGAAAAUGUGGAUGUCUCCAGGGAGGCCAUACCUAAUGAGGAGCUCCCAACAAAUGGCAACUGAUGUUACCUACAACCGAAUACGUCAAGAAGGAAACACACUCGCUUCAGCCUGCACCAACCAAAAUGACUGCUCAAAGGCCAUUCAGCCCCUUUAUCACUGUGGCUCAACUUUGAUUUUCUUCCCAGUUCAUCCAUGAUUCAGACUUCUUCUGUUUCAGGAGCUUUGCCCAUGCGUUCUGCCACCUUCUGCCAGGAAUUACACCUGUCCCAUCCCGUCGUCUCCUGAAUGUCCAGAGACAGGGGUCUCCCCGUGUUGUCCAGAACGGUCUUGAACUCCUGGUCUUCAAGCAAUCUUCCUGCCUUGGUCUCUCAAAGUGCUGGGAUUACAAGUGUGAGCCACCAUACCCGGUCAUAGCGCUCUUAUAAAAUGCAUCAUCACAUUUAUUUUAUAAAUUCAGAAACAAAAGUCUGUAUAGAGAAGUUUUGAAGUUACUAGGGACCUGAAAAUCAUACUGAAGAUGUCUGCAACUAAAAACUCGAAGAGUUCCGAGGCUAGAGGGGUCAGGAGAUGAAUAAAAACGUUAGCCCCAGCUGAUCACAAUGAGGUUAAUCACAAUACUAAUUAAAAAUACUACAGAUCCUAGGACAAUGGUCAGAAGAGUGACUAUACUUUCCUGUUUGCCCUUGGAAAAUCGAGGGCUGACUUUUCUACGUGCUCAGAUAACCUAAAUUGAUAGAGAGAAAGCUAGCAGAGGAUAAGAUAAACUAGUUAACUGUAAAUAAGAUUUUGCUGUUGGAGAAUCUUCUUGUUGCUCUGGUUUUAGAUAGCGGAGGAAGCCAAAAAAUAUCUGCUUUAAGUUACCAGGAGUUGAAGUUCAUCCCUGCUGAAGUUAACAGGUUGCUUCCCUUUUUCUGGUGUAUUCUUACUUUACUGGCAAAGAGAAAAUAAAUUAAUACCUUAUUGU